AUGACCUGGCUCCCUCCGGCGAAGCAUGAAGUGAAGAUUAAUGUUGAUGGCGGGUUUUCCAAGGUUGGGGACCGAGGAGCUUCGGCGGUGAUCUGUAGGGACAAGCACGGUAAGUUUCUGGGUGCUUCCGCGGUUAUUUCUGAAGGUUUGCUGGACCCAACUAUACUCGAAGCCCAGGCGUGCAAUGAGGCCAUUGCUCUUGCUGAGGACAUCCAUGUUCACUUCAUGUGUGUUGCAUCGGACUGCCUUGAGGAGAUCAAGCACAGGAGGCGUUCGAUCCAAGAUACUCAGUUUGUGCAUGAAAAUAGGAAACACAAUGAGGAAGCACAUGCCUUAGCUAAGGCGGCUGCUUCUCUCCCUCCCGGGCGCCAUGUGUGGCUUGCUACUCUGCCCGAUAUUAUCUGUAUCCCUAUGGUUUUGAACUUUCAAUAA
rnacentral:rRNA from 1 species